GGCACAGUGGAGCAGUGGUUAGCACUGUCCCCUCACAGCAAAAAGGUUGUGGGUUCAAAUCCCGGUUUGGGCCU